rnacentral:misc_RNA from 1 species
AACAUCGCGCACCUGCGGGAACCUGCGGAGGGAUCAUUACCGAGUUUACAACUCCCAAACCCCUGUGAACAUACCUAUACGUUGCCUCGGCGGAUCAGCCCGCGCCCUGUAAAAAGGGACGGCCCGCCCGAGGACCCUAAACUCUGUUUUUAGUGGAACUUCUGAGUAAAACAAACAAAUAAAUCAAAACUUUUAGCAAUGGAUCU